CCUACGGGGGGCAGCAGUGGGGAAUAUUGCACAAUGGGCGCAAGCCUGAUGCAGCCAUGCCGCGUGUGUGAAGAAGGCCUUCGGGUUGUAAAGCACUUUCAGCGGGGAGGAAGGCGGUGAGGUUAAUAACCUCAUCGAUUGACGUUACCCGCAGAAGAAGCACCGGCUAACUCCGUGCCAGCAGCCGCGGUAAUACGGAGGGUGCAAGCGUUAAUCGGAAUUACUGGGCGUAAAGCGCACGCAGGCGGUCUGUCAAGUCGGAUGUGAAAUCCCCGGGCUCAACCUGGGAACUGCAUUCGAAACUGGCAGGCUAGAGUCUUGUAGAGGGGGGUAGAAUUCCAGGUGUAGCGGUGAAAUGCGUAGAGAUCUGGAGGAAUACUGGUGGCGAAGGCGGCCCCCUGGACAAAGACUGACGCUCAGGUGCGAAAGCGUGGGGAGCAAACAGGAUUAGAUACCCGUGUAGUC
rnacentral:rRNA from 1 species